ensembl:lncRNA
GCUUAAGACCCUCUUAGAACAUCCAGCAUAUGAAAGUCACAUGCAUCUUGGUACAGACUUCAUAAAGCCCAUUUUUUAGUAAAUGAUAGAAGAUUGCCCCCAGAAUCCUCAACUAAACACAGAUGUUGAGAAGACAAACAUUGCUCAGGAGGUUACUUUCAGCAAACUGUCUUUGCCUGACGUGUACUUCUCUACAAGAAAAUCAACUACCAGAUGUGUCCGUAAGUACUGCAUCCCUCCUAAUGCAGCAAACAGAAGUUUGCUUUGAGGUGAAAAACUAGACUGGUUUUACCUGUUCUGACAAGGAAGCAACCAUAACCAGUCAUGGAUUUACUUAAGAGGGAGAAGAACACUGUUGAAGGAAAGAGAAAGAUAGAAAUACAAGCACAUGUGGACUGCUACUGUUUCUUACAAAUGUUCACCUACAUAAGCAAAUUUUCGACUACAGCAAUCUCAGGGAAGCAUCUGGCUGCAAAUGAGAAUAUCGUGAUUUUCUUCAAGUCCUAAAGGAAAUGCCGAAAUGGAUAUGAACAUUGCAUAAACUGUGCAAAAAAAAAAAAAAAAAGACAGAAUCAUCACAGAAUCAUCAUAGAUAACAACAACAGAAUAACAACCUCCAGUGUUAUUCAUUCUGAAAGUAAUUGAAAAGACUCUUCAAUUAACUAUGAUCUCUGUUAACAACCUACUGCAAAACUGUUAUCUCGUAAAGAUGACUUUUUUAUUGAAUCUAGUACUUUAUCUGGUAGCAGAAUUCACUGUUUAUCUACAAUGCAUAAAGCUGCAAAUCUUAUAUGCAUGUAAGUUCCGUGUGUAAGAAAGAAAAGAAGAAAAGCAUCUAUGGAAAUUCUAGAGAGACAAAAGUUAAUAAUUUUCUUUCAAUUGGGUGUAAGUGAUGCAGAAUUCAGUCCAGACUUUGGGAAAAGAAAAAAAAAAAAAAAAAUAGUGAGAGUAUCAUGCUUACUGUGAUUUUCAGAUAAAGUAAUCCUAAAGCAUUUCUCAAAGGUAUAGAUUAAAUGCUCAUUAUGUAAAUGUACUUACUCACCAAUCUGUUCUUUGUUCAUCUAGAUAAAGUAGUACACUGUUUCCAUGUCAAGCAACUGCUGAUUACAAAUAAAUAAUUCAGCACUGAGAGAUGCUGUCCAUAGUGCAUGAAAAACGGAAACAAAUUGAAAAGGAAUGUCAAUAAAUUGACAAUAUUAAAUUUCAAUCAAUUUGGUCUGAUUGGAUAAUUUAAGCUUGCAGCUGCUGUGAGAUCAGAAAGGGAAGGGAAAUGUCAAUAAUUCUAAAGUGUGCUAACAUUUGACUUUUUACAAUUGUGUGUAAACCUCUAAAAUGAGACAACAAAGUUUCCUAUUGAGGCAGAAAAUGAAAUACCACUUCUAUGACGUCGUAAUGAUAGUAUCAUUGUUAGGCUUAAUAAUGAAGUGACAGAGGCC